AGUGAACGCUGGCGGUAGGCCUAACACAUGCAAGUCGAACGGCAGCACAGUAAGAGCUUGCUCUUACGGGUGGCGAGUGGCGGACGGGUGAGGAAUACAUCGGAAUCUACUUUUUCGUGGGGGAUAACGUAGGGAAACUUACGCUAAUACCGCAUACGACUUACGGGUGAAAGCAGGGGAUCUUCGGACCUUGCGCGAUUGAAUGCGCGGAUGUCGGAUUAGCUAGUUGGCGGGGUAAAGGCCCACCAAGGCGACGAUCCGUAGCUGGUCUGAGAGGAUGAUCAGCCACACUGGAACUGGGACACGGUCCAGACUCCUACGGGAGGCAGCAGUGGGGAAUAUUGGACAAUGGGCGCAAGCCUGAUCCAACCAUACCGCGUGGGUGAAGAAGGCCUUCGGGUUGUAAAGCCCUUUUGCUGGGAAAGAAAAGCAGCAGGUUAAUACCCCGCUGUUCUGACGGUACCCAAAGAAUAAGCACCGGCUAACUUCGUG
rnacentral:rRNA from 1 species